rnacentral:misc_RNA from 1 species
CUUUUUGUGCAUAAUGUAUAUAUAGGGGGGUGGUAGUACUCUUGGGGUAGACAGGCAUGUGCUGGGAUGGCAUGCCAAGGCAUGUGCUGGGAUGGCAUGCCAAGGACAAGCAUGUGCUGGGAAGGCAUGCCAAGGCCAAGACAAGGCCAAGGCAAGCACAUGCAUGGUGAGCGAGAUGAGACGGUUACGUUUACCCCAAGAGUGCCCAACGAGGUGGUGUCAAACGCAUGCUGAGCCCCUCUUCGGUAGUUUGGCACGACAACAUAGACAUUCAGGCAAGCGUGUCUAUGGUUAACGUCUGUUCAGCUUGCCAGCCAUGUUAGGUAUUAUUCUACGGAUGAGAUGAUGGCACAAGGAUGAUUGCUGGUAACGUUUUGGCACCAGACCGCAUUGCUAGUUCAAGCUUCAACGGGUGGAAAUAUGCCUAUAGGGGUGUUGCUUGCUUGCUGUGGAUUUGGGACACGCCCAAUAUCUAUCAUUGACCCAACGAAGUGCUCAACAUGGGUUGCUGAGGGCUAUUUUGGCACAGAUGCUUCACUCGUUUGCUUGGCUUUGAUAAAUGUUUAGAUGUCAUGAUGCUUGGGAUCCAAUAAAUAUAUGUGGGAAGCUGAGAGCUGGAACCCAAUGUCAUUCACCAGACGCUUUAGCUUCGUCAGUGUGUAUAAUAUGUCAUUGAACCCCAAUCCUCGAUGCCGACCUGUUUAUGACUUUUGGAUUGCAAUUAUCAUGGCUAUCAAAAACUGAGUAGGAGUCAUGGAAUAAGUGAACAAUUUGUGGCCUUUAUAGCUGUCAGCUUUCGCAUCGCCCGGUGUGUUUUGGGAAUCGCUUUGUGCAUUUGGUUGCCUGCCGUGCCUCUUGGCAUACGGUUGGUGCCACUUGCCGGGUGGUUUUCGGAAACAUCCACCGUAAAGGUGCAUGAGUGGUGUUUGGUUUGUUACGGGUGGUUGGCUCUUUGCUUGCGCAACAACUGCCACCCGACUUACCUCUUCAGUUUUUGCCUAGGCUUGUAUAGCCUAAGCAGAUUGUGGGUUUCCUGUGUUGCCUACCUACGUCACGGAAUUGUCCCGAUCGAUCAAAGUUGCUUUCGUCUUGUGUCGUCUUGAUGGCAUAAGAUGAACCAUGAAGCUGUCUCUUUGCACCGCAUCGUUAAUGCAUGCAUUGAUGUUGUGGCCCAUUGAGCAUUGCUUGGUACCUCGGAUACGGAACCUUAUGUGGGCAUGGGUCCUUAGGGAUCCUUGUUCUGCCCUCGUUUAGCGUUCGCGCUUCUCUUAGAAUGACUGCCCAGCCGGAAUGGGAAGCCAUUCUGGAUGGGCAUCGUCAAAGAGGAAUGC